CAGGCCCCCCUUCCCACGCCCAGUGCGCUGUGGGAUAGUGGCACUAUAAAGUAUAUCCUCUCUCGGAGAAAGAUAAGAAGCCCGAGACGGGAGGGGAUGAAGAUGGCGGACGCCAAGCAAAAAAGGAACGAACAGUUGAAACGGUGGUUAGGGUCGGAGACAGACAUCGAGCCUCCUAUUCUGAAAAAGAAGAAGACGAAGGUGAAGUUCGACGAUGGCGCCGUGUUUUUGGCUGCCUGCUCAAGCGGCGAUACCGAGGAGGUGCUCCGAAUGAUUGACCGGGGUGCUGACAUCAACUACGCCAAUGUAGACGGUCUGACUGCCCUCCACCAGGCAUGCAUAGAUGACAACGUGGACAUGGUGACGUUCCUGGUGGAACAUGGGGCUGCCAUCAACCAGCCCGACAAUGAGGGCUGGAUCCCCCUCCACGCCGCAGCCUCCUGUGGAUACAUGGACAUAGCAGAGUAUCUGAUUGGCCAGGGAGCCAGUGUGGGGGUGGUGAACAGUGAGGGGGAGACACCACUGGACAUCGCUGAGGAGGAGGCCAUGGAAGAGCUCCUGAAGAAUGAGAUCAACCGACAAGGCGUGGACAUCGAGGCGGCCAGGAAGGAGGAGGAGCGGAUCAUGCUGAGGGACGCCCGGCAGUGGCUCAACAGCGGAACCAUCAACGACGUCCGACACGCCAAGUCCGGGGGGACCGCACUCCACGUGGCCGCCGCCAAGGGAUACGCUGAGGUUUUAAAGCUUUUAAUCCAAGCAGGGUAUGAUGUAAAUAUUAAAGACUUUGACGGCUGGACCCCGCUCCACGCUGCUUCACAUUGGGGCAAAGAGGAGGCCUGCAAGAUACUGGUGGAGAACCUGUGUGACAUGGACCUUAUCAAUAAAGUGGGUCAGACUGCUUUUGAUGUCGCAGAUGAAGAUGUCCUUGGCUACUUAGAGGAAUUACAGAAAAAGCAGAAUCUGCUCAAUAGUGAAAAGAAGGAUGUUAAGAAGUCUCCCUUGAUAGAAACGACGACCACUGGGGACAACAAUCAAAAUCUAAAAUCCAUUAAGAGCAAAGAGACCCUCCUCUUGGAGCCCGAGAAGCCCGCCCCGCGCAUCGAGGCCCUGGAACCGGAGAAGGUGGAUGAGGAAGAGGGAAAGAAGGACCAGGAGUCCAGCUGCUCCAGCGAGGAGGAAGAGGAGGAAGACUCGGAGUCUGAGACUGAAGCCGACAAGAGCAAGACGCCUGUCCCUGUGAGCAACAGUAACGGCACUGCUGUGGUGCCAACGCCGACCAGCGUUACGGUGUCCACCUCCCCAACCAGCCCCACUAACCAGGUGACUCUCACCUCGCCUGUCAAGAAGGUGGCCCAGCAGGUGUCCCCUGCCGGUAAGGUCUCUCCUAAAGAGGUCUCCCCUAAAGAUAAACAGGAGGAUGACAAGACUAAGAAAUCGGACGAGUCCCCGGCGUCGUGGCGCCUGGGUCUGAGGAAGACGGGCAGCUACGGGGCGCUGGCGGAGAUCACGGCCACUAAGGAGGCCCAGAAGGAGAAGGACACGGCCGGGGUGAUGCGCUCGGCCUCCAGCCCCCGCCUCUCCUCCUCCCUGGACAACAAGGACAAAGAGAAGGAAAAAGACAAAGGAACCAGACUUGCCUACGUUGCCCCCACCAUCCCCAGGAGACUGGCCAGUACAUCAGACGUUGACGAGAAGGAGAACAGGGACACUGCUGCUAGUCUGGUACGUAGCGGCUCCUACACCAGGAGACGCUGGGACGAUGAGCUGAAGAACAGUGAAGGAAGCGCUUCCACCAAUCGAACAACACCCAGCUAUCAGCGCAGCACGUCCCACACGCUAACACUAGGGCGGAGCGGCAGCACGCGGGACGUGCCAGCCAAGUCCUCGUCUGCCUCCAGCUUGGACCCUAUCACCUGUAACACUAAACCCUGGCAGUCGCCCACCUCCCACUACCAGUCUUACAGCAUUUACCGCAGUGGUUCCUUUGGCAGGAGGCACGAGGACCUGGGUUCGACCACCUCUUCCUCCACUAGCACCACCACAACCACCUCGUCUGUUACCUCGCCCACCGGCCACCGUGACCGCAGCCUGCUCUCCAGCCUGGGCUCCUCCACCCGCACCGGAUCCUCCAGCCUCACCAGCAGGUACUGGGCAGAGGAGAGUGCGGAGAGGGAGAAGGAGUCUGCUGCAGUCAUCCCUACGAUUAACACUGGUUCUACCACCACCACCACGUCCACUACUGGCACGAUCAUUGGCUCUGACGGCAGGGAGAGACGCAGGUCCGACAUGCGCACAUCGUACCUCACGCCUGUUAGGGAUGAAGAGUCGGAGUCCCAGAGGAAAGCCCGCUCCAGACAGGCUAGACAGUCCAGACGGUCUACCCAGGGUGUGACUCUGACUGACCUCCAAGAGGCAGAGAAGACCAUCGGCAGGAGCCGCCCCACACGGACCCGGGAGGAGGAGAAAGAAGAGAAGGAGAAACAAGACAAGGAGAAGCAAGAGGAGAAGGAGACUGGUGAGACCAAGGAGGACGACUACCGGUCGAGGUACCGCAGCUUCGAAGAGACUUACCAGCGCUACCGUCCCUCCACCACCUCAACCACCUCCACCCUGAGCACGGCCUCCACCCCGUCCUCCACCACCUCCAGCUCCCUCAACAGGCCCAACAGCCUGACCAGCAUCACUUCCUCCUCCAGCUCCCUCAACAGGCCCAACAGCCUGACGGGCAUCACCUCUUCCUACAGCCGCUCCUCCAGGGACACUGAGAAAGAAUCAGACAAGAAGCAGCAGGAGGAGGAGAAGGAGGGAGAGGAUAAGUCCCAGCCCCGCUCCAUACGGGAUCGCCGGCGGCCCCGUGAGAAGAGACGCUCCACCGGGGUGUCUUUCUGGACCCAAGAUGGGAGUGAUGACAAUGACCCAGACCAAUCGGCGGACUCCGAGGAAGGCAGCAUCAAGGGUGAACCUCAGAGCGACCGACUGUCCAGGAAUGAGAGCAGCACUUCCUCUUCUGACCGCUAUGACCACCUGGGUAGCCGUGGCGAGGGUCGCAGGUCAUUCUCAAGCAGGCUGGACCGAGACGAUAGCACUGACUACAAGAAGCUUUAUGAGCAGAUCCUAGCUGAGAAUGAGAAGCUGAAGUCCCAGUUACGUGACACAGACCUGCAGCUGAAUGACUUGAAGCUACAGCUGGAGAAGGCCACACAGAGGCAGGAGCGCUUUGCUGACCGGUCGCAGCUUGAGAUGGAGAAAAGGGUUACAAGCAGGCCCCAAUUUCAGCUGGGUGGUAUGGUCUUAUAAACCUGACUACUUUCUCCAGUCUACUGCCUCUCCUGCUGGCUGGCUCACCAUGCCCAUAUAUUUGGCUGGGGGGCGUGCAACCCCACCCAAGCACGAGCUACCUACCUUCUCUCACGUGUUUUUGAACAUUUUUAGCCAGUGUGUGGUCACUUUUUCUCCAUGGUUGUUCUUUUUGACGAGUGUGUGUGUGAUAGCGAGUAUACAUGAUGGGUUGUUUCAAUGUAAAUGUGUUAUCUUACGCAUGUGCUUUUUGCCAUUCUUUUUGGAAACUGUUCACUCACAUCACCUUAACGACUGACACAAAUGUAUGGGGUCAAUUUCACGCCAUAUGUAUUGAAUUCAAAUUAAAAAUAAAACAUGAACAUGAAAAAUAAAGUUGAGAAUGUGUAAACAUAUUUUGGGGGACGGGUGAAAUAAUGGAUUUUGAAAUCAAAAAUCAAACAAUUGAAGGCAAAAUAUAUACAGUCGUGUAAAAGUUUUGAGAAUGACACAAAUUAAUUUACUCAGUUUACUGCUUCAUUGUCUUCAGAUAUUUGUCAGUUACUAUGGAAUACUGAAGUAUAAUUACAAGCAUUUCAUAAGUGUCAAAGGCUAUUGACAAUUACAUGAAGUUGAUGCAAAGAGUCAAUAUUUGCAGUGUUGACCCUUUUUCAAGACCUCUGCAAUCUGCCCUGGCAUGUUGUCAAUUAACUUCUGGGCCACAUCCUGACUGAUGGCAUCCCAUUCUUGCAUAAUCAAUGCUUGGAGUUUGUCAGAAUGUGUGUGUUUUUGUUUGUCCCACCCACCUCUUGAGGAUUGACCAAGUUCUCAAUGGGAUUAAGGUCUGGGGAGUUUCCUGGCCAUGGACCAAAAAUAUUGAUGUUUUGUUCCCCGAGCCACUUAGGUUAUCACUUUUGCCUUAUGGCAAGGUGCUCCAUCAUGCUGGAAAAGGCAUUGUUUGUCACCAAACUGUUCCUGAAUGGUUGGGAGAAGUUGCUCUCGGAGGAUGUGUUGGUACCAUUCUUUAUUCAUGGCUGUGUUCUUAGGCAAAAUUGUGAGUGAGUCCACUCCCUUGGCUGAUAAGCAACCCCACCCAUGAAUGGUCUCAGGAUGCUUUACUGUUGGCAUGACACAGGACUGAUGGUAGCGCUCACCUUGUCUUCUCCGGACAAGCUUUUUUCCAGAUGCCCCAAACAAUCGUAAAGGGGAUUCAUCAGAGAAAAUGACUUUACCCCAGUCCUCAGCAGUCCAAUCCCUGUACCUUUUGCAGAAUAUCAGUCUGUGCGUGCAGACACACUCACACCUGCCUGCUGCCAUUCCUGAGCAAGCUCUGUACUGGUGGUGCCCCAAUCCUGCAGGUGAAUCAACUUUAGGAUAUGGUCCUGGUGCUUGCUGGACUUUCUUGGGCGCCCUGAAGCCUUCUUCACAACAAUUGAACCGCUCUCCUUGAAGUUCUUGAUUAUCCGAUAAAUAGUUUAGGUGCAAUCUUACUGGCAGCAAUAUCCUUGCCUGUGAAGCCCUUUUUGUGCAAAGCAAAAAGGUAACCAUGAUUGACAGAGGAAGAACAAUGAUUCCUAGCACCACCCUCCUUUUGAAGCUUCCUGUCUGUUAUUCGACCUCAAUCAGCGUGACAGAGUGAUCUCCAGCCUUGUCCUCGUCAACACUCACACCUGUGUUAACGAGAAUCACUUACAUGAUGUCAGCUGGUCCUUUUGUGGCAGGGCUGAAAUGCAGUGGAAAUGUUUUUGGGGGAUUCAGACCAUUUGCAUGGCAAAAGGACUUUGCCAAUUAAUUGCAAUUCAUCUGAUCACUCUUCAUAACAUUCUGGAGUAUAUGUCAAUUUCCAUCAUACAAACUGAGGCAGCAGACUUUGAAAAUUAAUAUUUGUGUCAUUCUCAACUUUUGGCCACGGCUGUAGAAACAAAUAAUACAUCAAAAGCAAAACCCCGACACUUGUAAGAAAAUAAUUUUAGAGCGAGAGCAAAACAUAUUUUAUCUAACUACUUAGGUAAACAUAUGAAUUACCUGUUGCACAAUGUUCGGAGCAGGUGUAUGACGAACAAUUUGCCAACACCUGCGCGAACUUUGUCUGACAGAUGGUUUGCCAUUCAAUGUAUUAGACAUGCUUCUAAUAUCUGUACAUUAUUGACCCGUGACUGACAGUUUGAAGUACGUUAACUAAAACCCUAAAACGAGGUCAUCAGACUGUCUACUGAAGUAGACAAUAGGGGGGAAAAGCCUGUCAUGUUCAUUGAUUGGGGUAAGACGAACCGUCAGUACAAAACUAGUGGGCCAAUGGAGACUUCUCUACGCCUCCCUAAACCCCGCCUUUCACAGAAAAAUAAUGUGUAACUUGCAUUCGAAAAGACUUGCUGUGAAAGCAAAGAAACAGACAUCGAAAGCAAAGAUACGAGUAGCGUAACCAAAGAGUAGGACAUGCAGGCAAGACCGUAGGCAAAAUCUAUUCAAUACGAUUGGUUGCUGGGAAAGUUUAACCAAAAACUAUUUUUGUAUUUGUUUGAAAAUAUUUAAAAAAAAUACUUUGCCAUUAAGUUUUGCUCUCGCUUUAAAAUGAUUUGCUUACAAGUUUUGGGGUUUUGCUUUUAAUGUAUUUUUGUUUACAUUGAUAUUUUAUUUGUUUGGUUUUUGAUUUCAAAAUCCAUUAUUUCACCCGUCCUCAAACAUGUUUACAUUCUCAACUAUUUUUCAUGUUCAUGAUGUAGUUUAUUUUGAAUUCAAUACAUAUGGUGUGAAAUUGACCCAAUAGAAACAUCACCUUAACGACUGACACAAACAUCACCUUAACGACAACAGGCACAUGUAGUUCGCAUGAUGGCCAAGAACUAAAGUUAAUCCUGAUCUCCAACCAUCUUCCAUGAAUGAUUUACUUAUACCCUAAUCUAUUGCUUUAGUUUGCUUAUUAAAGUCCAUGUUGUCACUGGAUUUUAGAUGACCUUCCCUUGAUCUCCUUCCCCUGGCGUUCCCUAAAGUCAGCAUACCUCAACCUUCACAGCUUGGGUCUGCCUUUGUAAGCGAAGCCAACUGCUUCUUUUAUUUUAGCUGUAUUGGCCCCGCCAGUAUGGCUGACAUUACCCAUGAGUCAUUUCAUGAACGUGUCAUGUUAAGAUAACCACAUCAGGAGAAGAUGGGACAUGCAGCACUAGACAUGUUAGGUCUUUUUUAGAUUAGAUAUUAGGUCUUUUUGAUGCUUCACAAUCAUGCGAGUGCACCUCACCCACUUUCCUCUCGCCUCUGUCUCUCUCUUCAUGAAGCUCCUCAACCUGCAUCUGUUAUCUGACGUUCACACCUCAUCUCCACAGUCACUUUAUUGGAUAUAACUGCAGCUAGGUUUUACUAUCAGACAGUGUCAAUUUAGAUUUCGUCUUUGUUUUAGUCAUAAUACCUUUUUAGGCUUAGUCACAUUUUAGCCACAAGUCGGUGCAUUUUCUUCUAUUAAAUAAUGAAUACUUAGGCUACCUCUGACAUUAAUUGUGGCACAAUUAACCAUAUAGGCUAUAAAGCCUUUGCUACAGGUUAAAUUUACGACUGAUUUUUCUCCCCCAUCAUAACCGUAAAGGGGGGUAAAUAAGUGGUCUCUUGAAAAGGGGAGAAUUUAAGCUUUCCAGAAAUGUCAAAGUAUUACCAUACUCUUAAUAUUCAACAAAUAGCAUUCGUUUGUCCCAUAGGAAAAAUGGAAUCACUUCCAUUCGCACAUCGCUGUGCGUGAGCGGCAACACAGAUGAAUAAUAGCGCAAAGGGGGAAAUGGAGGUUCUGAUGUGAUCAAAGCAAAAAUAGCCAACAUGAAAGAAAGAAGAGCUCUAGAAAGGAAGAUCUCUGAGAUGGAGGAGGAACUCAAG